rnacentral:tRNA from 1 species
UCCGGGAUCGUCUAAUGGCAGGACAGCGGCCUUUGAAGCCGUGAAUCAUGGUUCGAAUCCAUGUCCCGGAACCA